GACGUAGGGGGCGAGCGUUGUCCGGAUUUAUUGGGCGUAAAGAGCGCGUAGGCGGCCCGUUAAGUCGGAUGUGAAAACCCGUGGCUCAACCACGGGCCUGCAUCCGAUACUGGCGGGCUCGAGGCAGGCAGGGGAGAUCGGAAUUCCUGGUGUAGCGGUGAAAUGCGCAGAUAUCAGGAGGAACACCAACGGCGAAGGCAGCUCGCUGGGACGGUACUGACGCUGAGGCGCGAAAGCGUGGGGAGCGAACAGG
rnacentral:rRNA from 1 species